rnacentral:rRNA from 1 species
UACGGAGGGGGCGAGCGUUAUUCGGAAUUAUUGGGCGUAAAGGGCGCGUAGGCGGCUGUACAAGUCAAAGGUGAAAUCCCUCGGCUCAACUGAGGAACUGCCUUUGAAACUGUACGGCUUGAGGCCGGGAGGGGGUAGCGGAAUUCCCGGUGUAGUGGUGAAAUGCGUAGAGAUCGGGAGGAACACCUGUGGCGAAGGCGGCCCCCUGGGCCGGCCCUGACACUGAGACGCGAAGGCGUGGGGAGCGAACGGG